GGCUUCGUGGCGCAGCGGUGAGCACGUCUGCCUCACACGCAGAAGGUCCUGGGUUCGCGCCCCAGUGCGGCCA
rfam:Pteropus alecto contig145062, whole genome shotgun sequence.